rnacentral:rRNA from 1 species
CAGUCGCCACGGUAAUACGUAGGGUGCAAGCGUUAUCCGGAAUUAUUGGGCGUAAAGAGCUCGUAGGCGGUCUGUCGCGUCUGCUGUGAAAACUGGGGGCUCAACCCCCAGCCUGCAGUGGGUACGGGCAGACUAGAGUGCGGUAGGGGAGAUUGGAAUUCCUGUGUAGCGGUGGAAUGCGCAGAUAUCAGGAGGAACACCGAUGGCGAAGGCAGAUCUCUGGGCCGUAACUGACGCUGAGGAGCGAAAGCAUGGGGAGCGAACAGGAUUAGAUACCCCAGUAGUCCCUGUCUCUUAUACA